rnacentral:rRNA from 1 species
CCUACGUGAGGCAGCAGUGGGGAAUAUUGCGCAAUGGGCGAAAGCCUGACGCAGCGACGCCGCGUGAGGGAUGAAGGUCUUCGGAUCGUAAACCUCUGUCAGCAGGGAAGAACGGUCACUGUGCUAAUCAGCAGUGAAUUGACGGUACCUGCACAGGAAGCACCGGCUAACUCCGUGCCAGCAGCCGCGGUAAUACGGAGGGUGCGAGCGUUAAUCGGAAUUACUGGGCGUAAAGCGCUCGUAGGCGGUAUGUCAAGUCAAGGGUGAAAUCCCCGCGCUCAACGUGGGAACUGCCUUUGAAACUGGCAAACUGGAGUGUGUGAGAGGAUAGUGGAAUUCCAGGUGUAGGAGUGAAAUCCGUAGAUAUCUGGAGGAACAUCAGUGGCGAAGGCGACUAUCUGGCACAUAACUGACGCUGAGGAGCGAAGGCGUGGGUAGCAAACAGGAUUAGAUACCCUUGUAGUC